rnacentral:ncRNA from 1 species
CAGAGUAGAAAAUUCCGCGUAAAGUGCUGACCGGACGGGGAGUUGCCGGUCGGACGAAAAGCAGAUUCCUGCUUGCGGUGGAAUUUUCGCAUCCCGCUG